AUUACCGCGGCUGCUGGCACGUAGUUAGCCGGUGCUUAUUCUUACGGUACCGUCAUGACCCGAGGAUAUUAGCCCCAGGCUUUUCGUUCCGUACAAAAGCAGUUUACAACCCGAGGGCCUUCAUCCUGCACGCGGCAUUGCUGGAUCAGGCUUUCGCCCAUUGUCCAAAAUUCCCCACUGCUGCCUCCCGUAGGAGU
rnacentral:rRNA from 1 species